UACGAGGGGGGCGAGCGUUGUUCGGAAUUAUUGGGCGUAAAGGGUGCGUAGGCGGCCUGACAAGUCUGAUGUGGAAAUCCCUGGGCUCAACCCAGGGCCUGCAUCGGAAACUGUCGGGCUUGAGUAUGGGAGAGGUGAGUGGAAUUUCCGGUGUAGCGGUGAAAUGCGUAGAUAUCGGAAGGAACACCUGCGGCGAAAAGGCGCUCAGUGCCAUUACUGACGCUGAGGCACGAAAGCUAGGGGAGCAA
rnacentral:rRNA from 1 species